GAUGAAGAACGCAGCGAAAUGCGAUAAGUAAUGUGAAUUGCAGAAUUCAGUGAAUCAUCGAAUCUUUGAACGCACAUUGCGCCCCCUGGUAUUCCGGGGGGCAUGCCUGUUCGAGCGUCAUUUCACCACUCAAGCCUCGCUUGGUAUUGGGCAACGCGGUCCGCCGCGUGCCUCAAAUCGACCGGCUGGGUCUUCUGUCCCCUAAGCGUUGUGGAAACUAUUCGCUAAAGGGUGUUCGGGAGGCUACGCCGUAAAACAACCCCAUUUCUAAGGUUGACCUCGGAUCAGGUAGGGAUACCCGCUGAACUUAAGCAUAUCAAUAAGCGGGA
rnacentral:misc_RNA from 1 species